UUAUGGCUCAGGAUGAACGCUAGCUACAGGCUUAACACAUGCAAGUCGAGGGGCAGCAUUGGGAUAGCUUGCUAUCCAGAUGGCGACCGGCGCACGGGUGCGUAACACGUAUCCAAUCUACCCAUGGCUCAGGGAUAGCCUUUCGAAAGAAAGAUUAAUACCUGAUGGUCUCACGUCAAGACAUCUUGUAGUGAGUAAAGAUUUAUCGGCGAUGGAUGGGGAUGCGUCCGAUUAGCUGGUUGGCGGGGCAACGGCCCACCAAGGCGACGAUCGGUAGGGGUUCUGAGAGGAAGGUCCCCCACACUGGAACUGAGACACGGUCCAGACUCCUACGGGAGGCAGCAGUGAGGAAUAUUGGUCAAUGGGCGAGAGCCUGAACCAAGCCAAGUAGCGUGAAGGACGGCGGCCCUACGGGUUGUAAACUUCUUUUGUUUGGGAAUAAAGUCGGGGACGUGUCCCCGUUUGUAUGUACCAUACGAAUAAGCAUCGGCUAAUUCCGUGCCAGCAGCGGC
rnacentral:rRNA from 1 species